AGUCCAGCUUUCCCGUUUCCAUCUGCCAUUGCCGAGUGUUGUGUGUGUGUUCUUUUCAAGCUACUGAAUGGUUGGUUUUGGGAGGUUGGAAUAAAAUGGAUCGAAAUAUUCGCAAGACUUGGAAACUAACCAUAUAAAAAAAAUAUUUGUAAAGGCGUUUUGUAUAUAUGAAAUAUUUAAUUUAUUAAUCAUAAGAAGAAUUCUUUUUAUACAAGUUCUGUUUACGAAAAAAAUGAGAGUAUUACAAGGUCCUUAUUGAGGAAAAUACA
rnacentral:sRNA from 1 species